CAAAUGACAACUUAGGCCUGGAUUUGUUCUUGCCCAACAAUGUCAUCUGCUUUGCACGCUCUUCCUCCUCCUCCUGUUUCUUCCUUCGCAUAGCCUCUUCUUUCUGUCUUUGAAGCUCUUCCAGUUCCCUAUAACGCUGCUCUUCCCUCAUUUGCUGCUCCAAAGCUUCUCUUCUCUGAGCUUCUUCCACCUUUCGCCUCUUCUCUUCAAGCAUUCUUUCCAACUCUUCUUUCUCUUUUCGAGCUUGUUCCUACAUGAAC
rnacentral:lncRNA from 1 species